GUCACCUCCGUCCACUCUGACGUCCACCAUCAACCUGCGAACAUCAUCUACACUCUUACCUCUCAAUACCACCAUAAUGAUACUAUUUUGGUGGAAUUCCCUCGGUAUGGGUGGAGAGAAGACUCCUCGUGAGUUCCCAAUCUCAAGAGGGGCAUUGCAGAAAAUGGAUUGUGAAAUGCAGAGCAGCCACCACAUGAUCAGUGCUCUUGGGCUGUCAACUAAGAAGUAUU